UUCAGCUAGUGCACCAGUGUAUUUCUCUAGGCGAUGUAGCUGAUCAGGUGUAGAACUCUCCAAAAUGGAUUCAAGAACAGAAUAUGGAACUCCUCCCACUCGAAAGAGUAAGUUGACAUUGUUUCUAAGGACCUGGAUACAUUCCUGGAUCAAGGUCAUCAUUUUGCAGCAACAAGCCCACUUGGAACCAUCCUAGAGUGCACUCUGAGUCCUGUAAUCCCACCUUCUUCCUCUUCUUGAGGUGAAGCUAGUGCUCUUUCCUUUGGUUGGAAGGAGGGCACCAAUUCAAAGGCAGGAAGCAGAUGAAUGUACCUGAUCACCUCAUUGCAUCACCACAGAUAUUCAAACUGCAGAUAAGGAGGAUCUGUCAGAUGGUCACUGCUUGCUUUCAUUCCAGCAGAAGGAACCUUGAGCCCCAUAUCUAGAAAUAGCCUUUAUUGACAGCCUUGCAGUCAGAAACUGGAGUGACUAUUUAUCACUAUAUAAUGUUCAUCUCUGUGUCUGUUCUGAAGUCUAAUGUAUUUGCUAUCAGUACAAUCUUUCCUUCCUUU